UUAACUGAAAAUUAAAUAA
rnacentral:miRNA from 1 species